rnacentral:rRNA from 1 species
AGAGUUUGAUCCUGGCUCAGAACGAACGCUGGCGGCGUGGAUAAGACAUGCAAGUCGAACGAGAGAAUUGCUAGCUGGCUAAUAAUUCUCUAGUGGCGCACGGGUGAGUAACACGUGAGUAACCUGCCCCCGAGAGCGGGAUAGCCCUGGGAAACUGGGAUUAAUACCGCAUAGUAUCGAAAGAUUAAAGCAGCAAUGCGCUUGGGGAUGGGCUCGCGGCCUAUUAGUUAGUUGGUGAGGUAACGGCUCACCAAGGCGAUGACGGGUAGCCGGUCUGAGAGGAUGUCCGGCCACACUGGAACUGAGACACGGUCCAGACACCUACGGGUGGCAGCAGUCGAGAAUCAUUCACAAUGGGGGAAACCCUGAUGGUGCGACGCUGCGUGGGGGAAUGAAGGUCUUCGGAUUGUAAACCCCUGUCAUGUGGGAGCAAAUUAAAAAGAUAGUACCACAAGAGGAAGAGACGGCUAACUCUGUGCCAGCAGCCGCGGUAAUACAGAGGUCUCAAGCGUUGUUCGGAAUCACUGGGCGUAAAGCGUGCGUAGGCUGUUUCGUAAGUCGUGUGUGAAAGGCGCGGGCUCAACCCGCGGACGGCACAUGAUACUGCGAGACUAGAGUAAUGGAGGGGGAACCGGAAUUCUCGGUGUAGCAGUGAAAUGCGUAGAUAUCGAGAGGAACACUCGUGGCGAAGGCGGGUUCCUGGACAUUAACUGACGCUGAGGCACGAAGGCCAGGGGAGCGAAAGGGAUUAGAUACCCCUGUAGUCCUGGCAGUAAACGGUGCACGCUUGGUGUGCGGGGAAUCGACCCCCUGCGUGCCGGAGCUAACGCGUUAAGCGUGUCGCCUGGGGAGUACGGUCGCAAGAUUAAAACUCAAAGAAAUUGACGGGGACCCGCACAAGCGGUGGAGUAUGUGGCUUAAUUCGAUGCAACGCGAAGAACCUUACCUGGGCUUGACAUGUAAUGAACAACAUGUGAAAGCAUGCGACUCUUCGGAGGCGUUACACAGGUGCUGCAUGGCCGUCGUCAGCUCGUGUCGUGAGAUGUUUGGUUAAGUCCAGCAACGAGCGCAACCCCUGUUGCCAGUUACCAGCACGUGAAGGUGGGGACUCUGACGAGACUGCCCAGAUCAACUGGGAGGAAGGUGGGGACGACGUCAGGUCAGUAUGGCCCUUAUGCCCAGGGCUGCACACGUACUACAAUGCCCAGUACAGAGGGGGCCGAAGCCGCGAGGCGGAGGAAAUCCUAAAAACUGGGCCCAGUUCGGACUGUAGGCUGCAACCCGCCUACACGAAGCCGGAAUCGCUAGUAAUGGCGCAUCAGCUACGGCGCCGUGAAUACGUUCCCGGGUCUUGCACUCACCGCCCGUCA